ensembl:lncRNA novel transcript
UGUAAAAAAUGAGGUUCUUGAUUUCUGAGGAUCUAGACGAUUUGCCUUCCUACUGCUUCUGCUUUUCACUAUAUAAGUGAAAAGACCUCAAAAGCUGCAAAUGUUUUGUUUGCGCUAUUCAUUAAUGGGCUCUACCCUGAGGUCAGUGGUCCAGUUUUAAAAUGGAGACUAAAUUAAAAGCCACCUAUCUAACUAAAAUUGGUCUCCUUAUAAAAUCCUCUGGUGAUUCUCAAUGAUUUUGUGUUACCUUAGUAUUCAUUUUAAUUUUCCUCUAACAUACCCAAAUUCUUUCUUCAAAAAGCUUAAAUUCUCUCUUUGUGCAUUGAGAUGUAAAUUUGCAACCCUGGUUUCUCUAAAACUCAAUAAGCACUUCAACCAUGCGGGACAAAUAAACUUUAUUUAAAAAUAUUUUUUAUUUUUUAUUCUUUUAGAGACAGGGUCUCACUCUGUCACCCAGGCUGGAGUGCAAUGUUAUGAUCCUAGCUCAGGGUCACCUCAAAUUCCUGGGCUGAAACUAUCCUCCCACCUCAGCUUCCCAAGUAGCUGGGACUCCAGGCACACACCGCCAUGCCUAACUAAUUUCUUUAUUUUUUAUGUUUUAGUAUAGACGGGGUCUUGCCUUGUUGCCCAGGCUAGUAUUGAACUCCUGGCUUCAAGUGAACCCCCUCCUGCGUGAGGCAUUGCACCCAGCCCAGACAAUCUUUAACUUGUUUCAUUUACAGAGGCACAAAUUAAUCUAACUGUCCUUUUAAACUAGUGAGUUUUAUCUGUCUCAUGACUAAAAUUUUAAAAUAAAAGCAAAUAUAGUUUACAUAUUUUCCCUACCCAAAUCUUAUGUUGAAUUGUAAUCCCGAAUGUUGGAAUUGGGGCCUGCUGGGUGGUGUUCGGGUCAUGGGGGUAGAUCUCUCAUGGCUUGAUGCUGUCCUCAGGAUAGUGACUGAGUUUUCCUGUAAUCUAGUUGGUUAAAGUGUGUGGCACCUCCCCCACUCUCUCUCUUGCUCCUGCUUUGCCAUGUGAAAUGCCUGCUCCCAUUUUGCUCUCUGCCAUGAGUAAAAGCUUCCUGAGGCCUCACGAGAGGCUGAGCAGAUGCCAGCACUAUGCUUCCUGUACAGCCUGCAGAAUCAUGAGCCAAUGAAAUCUCUUUUCUUUAUAAAUUACCCAGUCUCAAGUAUUUCGUUAUAAAACAGCCUAGCAAAAAAGCUAUAAAAUCUUUAUUUGUGUUUGUAUAUUAUGUAUAAAUGUGUAUAUGUCUGUGUUUGUAUAUUGUCUACAUGGUACUGAGUUGACUUAUAAAUAAAUGAGUACUCAUAAAUUAAAUAAUCUCAAAAUUUUUAAAUUCAUAUGACUUUAGUAACCUUUGAUAUAAAAAGCAGAUUUUUAAAUUGUUGGUAAAAUAAAAUAGAAAUGUCUUCAGAGUUUUAGACUUCUUUAUCUUAAUCUACUGGUCAAACAAAUGUAUGUUGUUUCUGCUAAAUGUUUUAAGGUCAAAAAACUUGUUUCUGUGAUAUUUUUGAUAAUUGCUUGAUUUGUCUUUAAGCAUAUGUCUUUGGUUUUGAGCCUUUAGAUUCCAGAGUCUAGACAGGUGGUCAUGGUGAGGCUUCCACAGCACCUAGACCACCAGCUGCAGGGUAGAGUCAAGCCCGAUACAUCCUCCCUGGCCCAGCUCUGCCUCCUGGCCAUGCUGGAAGGGGAUAGAUCCUCCAUUAACUGUCUUCGCAGCUCUGUCAUUUGUCCUGGGCUUUGCAUUUGAUACAUAACAAUUAAAAUUGCUUUACUUCCUAGCUUUCUCACUCGAAAUUGGGGUUACUAGAGUUAAAAUUGUAGAUAAUAUAUGUAAUUAAAACUACUAGAUAUAAGAGAAAUAAUUCUAUAUAAAGAGUGUACAAAGAAUGUAGGAUGUGUUUUGGGUGAGGAAGGUUAUAAGAAAAACAUGAAGCCAUAUGCUGUGGCUCAUGCCUGUAAUCCCAGCACUUUGGGAGGCUGAGGCAGGAGGACUGCUUGAGCCCAGGAGUUCACGACUAGCCUGGGCAACAUAGGGAGACCCCAUUUCUACACACACACAACUUGAGAAUGUGGUUUUUGUUAAAGGAAAAGUAUUUUUUUUCUAGUUUAGAGGUUAUUUGAAGGCUCCUUUAAGUUGAAAGGAUAAAAAAGAAUGACAGGAAAAACUGAAUGGAUAUAAAAAAUUGGGGAAAGAAAGAGAAUUGAAAAAAUUGUGAGAGAUUAUAAAAUGUUCAUGCAAAUCUUUUCUGUAGUCAAAGCUGAUUGAGAUUAGAUGGAUUUGUUUAUAUUUUAUUAAAUUAACUUUAGUGUUAAUAAUACACUGAUGAAAAGUACAAUUUGGUUUUCUCUUUUGAACAAGAUUUUCAUGUAGUACUAAUAAGAAAUGGUAAAAUAUUUGUUCACCUUUUCAGUAAAAAAGGAAGAAGACUUUGCCUCAUGCUGUCUUUAUUAGGUCUUUUGAUUGUUUGGAAAACUUGAUCUCCUCUCUAUCAAAUAGUAAAGGGUUUUUUUUCACUUUUUGAAAUCUUUUAAUUAUCAUUUUGACUAAAUGAAUGACUAAUAUUUUAUAGUGACUUGUGAUCUUAUUUUGAUAUCAAGUGUUUUAAACCUUUAAUAUUUGACAAACAUCCCAAAAUCAAAUUUCAAAUUCUAAAUUAAGUGUUUUUUAAGCUUGAACUAAAUAUUUGGACAUUCCAAAAAGAGCCCCUGGAAGUCCAAGAGAGACAUAUUAGGCUUAUUUGGUAUGUUAAAAUUAUAUGGGAAGCAUUGUCAAAUAAAAAGUGAUGUCUAACUUUCUUUGAGUUAUAUUCAUAUGGAUAUGUUAUUAAUGUAUUCCAAAAUUGUAUGAGAUUCCUAAAAUAUUAUAUAUCUUGGUAUAUUCAGUAAAUUGCUUAAUUCUGAUGCUCUUUUUCUAAAAGCUCUCUGUUCAUUCUAAAGUGAUGUGUCUUCAAGGAAGUUCAUGGGAAAGACUGAUAGGACACAAUUGAAAACACUGGUUAUAUUACAAAAGCUUUGACUGGUAAUUUUGUGUCAUAUUUUCAAAUGUGACCAGGCUGCUUUGAGGAAUUGCAGUUUACUUUAAAGCCAACAGACUUGGAAAAAGACUGGCCGGGUACCAUAUCUACACUGUUCCCUUACAGGGUUCCUGACCUUGUGAAAAGAAAACUGAGUAAUGACCUACAGACAUGGUUAAUCAGUUAUACCCUUCUCCUGACAUACAGCUAAUCACCAUAGACUAAUGCAGACCUCCUUAUGAAACAGGCGUUUCUACCUCCAAGGGAAAAAGAUAACAAAUCUUUGGCUGACCAACUGAUGUUUAUCAGCAAUGCUUCCUCACAUCAAAUCUUUAUCAAAAUGAAGAAAUGUGAAAUGUGAUAUACAAAACAGUAUCACUUGGUUCAGAGCUCUAAAAUGGAGUCAAGAAGCCACUCUAUUACUACCUACACAACAUGAAACCCUGCAGGAAAAAAAAAAAGGAACAGGAACUUGCCUUGAACCUUUGAACUGGGCUAAACUACAAUGACCACAUCUUAGAAAGCAGCUGAAUUUCACCAGCACUGCAACUCCUGCAUAGCAACAACCAAUGUACCAUGGACUUAUGUACUAAGCCAGCCACCUCCACCAAUGAUAAUUCUUUCAAAACAACUUGUGCAAUCACUCUCGGCAUCCUUUGAAAAAUUCCUACUCU